rnacentral:rRNA from 1 species
UACGUAGGAUGCAAGCGUUAUCCGGAUUCACUGGGUUUAAAGGGUGCGUAGGUGGGUUGGUAAGUCAGUGGUGAAAUCUCCGAGCUUAACUUGGAAACUGCCGUUGAUACUAUCAAUCUUGAAUAUCGCGUAGGUAAGCGGAAUAUGUCAUGUAGCGGUGAAAUGCUUAGAUAUGACAUAGAACACCAAUUGCGAAGGCAGCUUACUUCACGAUCAUUGACACUGAGGCACGAAAGCGUGGGGAGCAAACAGG